rnacentral:rRNA from 1 species
UACGGAGGGUGCGAGCGUUGUCCGGAAUCACUGGGCGUAAAGGGCGCGUAGGCGGCAUGCCAAGCGUGUGGUGAAAGCCCGGGGCUCAACCCCGGGUCGGCCGUGCGGACUGGCGUGCUCGAGCACUGUAGGGGCGGGUGGAAUUUCGGGUGUAGCGGUGGAAUGCGUAGAGAUCCGGAAGAACACCGGUGGCGAAGGCGGCCCGCUGGGCAGGAAGGCUCGCAAGAGCCGGCUGACGCUGAGGCGCGACAGCGUGGGGAGCAAACAGG